GGGGUCGUAGUUCAGUUGGUGAGAAUGCCGGCCUGUCACGCCGGAGGUCGCGAGUUCGAGUCUCGUCGGCCCCG
rnacentral:tRNA from 1 species